UAAUACGUAGGGUGCGAGCGUUAAUCGGAAUUACUGGGCGUAAAGCGUGCGCAGGCGGUGAUUUAAGUCAGAUGUGAAAGCCCCGGGCUUAACCUGGGAACUGCGUUUGAAACUGGAUCGCUAGAGUUUAGCAGAGGGGGGUAGAAUUCCACGUGUAGCAGUGAAAUGCGUAGAUAUGUGGAGGAACACCGAUGGCGAAGGCAGCCCCCUGGGCUAGAACUGACGCUCAUGCACGAAAGCGUGGGGAGCAAACAGGAUUAGAUACCCUGGUAGUCCACGCCCUAAACGAUGUCAACUGGUUGUCGGGGAAGGAGACUUCCUUGGUAACGUAGCUAACGCGCGAAGUUGACCGCCUGGGGAGUACGGUCGCAAGAUUA
rnacentral:rRNA from 1 species